GCCAGGCAUGGUGAUGCAUGCCUGUAAUCCCAGCAGUUUGGGAGGCUGAGGCAGGAGGAUCAUGAGUUCAAAGCCAGCCUCAACAAUAGCAAGGCACUAAGAAACUCAGUGAGACCCUAUCUCUA
rnacentral:sRNA from 1 species